rnacentral:lncRNA from 10 species
UCAGAUGGGGCACCCUGGCAUGCAUUAUGCCCCAAUGGGAAUGCACCCUAUGGGUCAGAGAGCGAAUAUGCCUCCUGUACCUCAUGGAAUGAUGCCGCAGAUGAUGCCCCCUAUGGGAGGGCCACCAAUGGGACAAAAAGAUAAAAUAAAACAAUUUGCUACUGCCAGAUGCUUCUCUCUUUUCUGGGGCCUUCUGUUUCCAUUGGGCCAAUCAAGAUGCCUGGAAUGAUGUCGUCAGUAAUGCCUGGAAUGAUGAUGUCUCAUAUGUCUCAGGCUUCCAUGCAGCCUGCCUUACCGGUAAUCAUGUGAAAAUAACUAUUUUCUGUGAAGUAAUGUUUUGAUUGAUUGCUUUUAUAUAUAUGGAAUAAUAUCUAUGUAUUUUAUAGGCAAUCAUGUUAGCUGUUGAAGUGCCUCUGUAGUACUGUAAUAAAAUACAAGAAUUACCGUGGACUUUCAGUUUCAGUUUCUUUUCUUUUCUUUGUUUUUUUGAGACAGAGUCUUGCUCUGUCACCCAGUCUGGAAUGCAGUGAGUGUCAUGAUAACAGCUCACUACAGCCUCAACCUCGUGGGCUCAAGUAAUCCUCCGACCUCAGCCUUCUGAGUAGCUGAGACCACAGGCACGUGCCACCACGCCGAGCUAAUUUUUAAAUUUUUUUUGUAGAGAUGAGGUCUCCCUGUGUUGCCUAAGCUGGUGUCAAACUCCUGAGCUCAAAUGAUCCUCCUGCCUCGGCCUCCCACAGGGAUGACAGGCAUGAGCCACUGUGCUUGUCCUGGAU